rnacentral:hammerhead_ribozyme from 1 species
GCACUGCUGACGAAUCCCAAACAGGACGAAAUAGCUGUCCAGUGC